AACAGAUUUCACAGAUGGGAUGCCUGGCUCAAAUUCCAGCUUGACCGCUGGUAGCUGUGUGACCCUCGGCAAGUUACUUGACCUCUCUCUACUCAGUGUCCUCAUCUGUCAGUGUAAUAUGAAUCAGAAAACAUGAACUCAGACUGAUGCUGGAAGCCACCUUAUGACUAUAAGCAGAAUCACCCUCGUUAUGACAUUGAUGCUACAAGCAACGGACUGAAAGAUAUAAAGAGCAAGCAGACAGGAAGAUUUUGGUAUCUGACUGAUGCUGUCUUCGUGGAAUGAGUUAGGAAAGAGUCCCUUCUCGUCAACUGUUUGGAAUAUUUUCAGUAGGAUUGGUAUCAUUGUAUGUCUGGCAGAAUUUGACCAGGAAUCCAUCUGGUCCAGGAUGUUUUUUGUUGGAACGCGUAAAUGGCAACAAUAGAGUCAGCCUUCAUGAAUCCAGAAAUGUGAGCCACAUUUUGAGGACAGCAGAGUCACUGCAGAAGCCUUGAUCCUUGUAUAACCUUGUCGAGUGGGAAAAUCUACCCAUACUUGACCAACCACCUAACUGGGGUCUCUACAUCUGAGAGAAAUAAUUUUUUAUCUUAUUUAAGCCACUGUAGUUAGGAGUCAGUUUAUUACAGGACAUUGCCUGGUGUUUCAACAAAUAAA